UACGUAGGGUGCAAGCGUUUAAUCGGAAUUACUGGGCGUAAAGCGUGCGCAGGCGGUUUUGUAAGUCUGUCGUGAAAGCCCCGGGCUCAACCUGGGAAUUGCGAUGGAGACUGCAAGGCUUGAAUCUGGCAGAGGGGGGUAGAAUUCCACGUGUAGCAGUGAAAUGCGUAGAGAUGUGGAGGAAUACCGAUGGCGAAAGGCAGGCCUCCUGGGCCAACACUGACGCUCAUGCACGAAAGCGUGGGGAGCAAACCGG
rnacentral:rRNA from 1 species